rnacentral:rRNA from 1 species
GUAUAGGAGGUCUUGCCUGCCCAGUGACAAUGUUAAACGGCCGCGGUAUUUUGACCGUGCGAAGGUAGCGCAAUCACUUGUCUUUUAAAUGAAGACCUGUAUGAAUGGUGAAACGAGGGCUUAACUGUCUCCCUUUUCUAGUCAAUGAAAUUGAUCUGCCCGUGCAGAAGCGGACAUAAAAAUACAAGACGAGAAGACCCUUUGGAGCUUAAGAUAUAAAGAUCAUCUAUGUCAAUGGGCCCCAACACGGCAACAAACUAAAUAGCAACUGAUCUUAAUCUUCGGUUGGGGCGACCACGGGAGAAAAUAAAGCUCCCACGCGGAAUGGGGUAAACCCUAAAACCAAGAAAAACAUUUCUAAGCAACAGAACUUCUGACCAUUAAGAUCCGGCUACACGCCGACCAACGGACCAAGUUACCCUAGGGAUAACAGCGCAAUCCCCUUUCAGAGUCCAUAUCGACAAGGGGGUUUACGACCUCGAUGUUGGAUCAGGACAUCCUAAUGGUGCAGCCGCUAUUAAGGGUUCGUUUGUUCAACGAUUAAAGUCCUACGUGAUCUGAGUUCAGACCGG